rnacentral:pre_miRNA from 1 species
GUGUGUGGAUAGUGUUCAGCACCAUGGACAGGCAUGUUUACUCGUGUGGGGAUAGUGUUCAGCACCAUGGACAGGCAUGUUUACCC